AGUUAAUGUAGCUUAAAAAAUAAAGCAAGGCACUGAAAAUGCCUAGAUGAGUAUAUUUAACUCCAUAAACA
rnacentral:tRNA from 1 species